rnacentral:rRNA from 1 species
GUGGGGAAUUUUGGACAAUGGGCGCAAGCCUGAUCCAGCAAUGCCGCGUGCAGGAAGAAGGCCUUCGGGUUGUAAACUGCUUUUGUACGGAACGAAACGGUCCUGGCUAAUACCUGGGGCUAAUGACGGUACCGUAAGAAUAAGCACCGGCUAACUACGUGCCAGCAGCCGCGGUAAUACGUAGGGUGCGAGCGUUAAUCGGAAUUACUGGGCGUAAAGCGUGCGCAGGCGGUGCUGUAAGACAGGCGUGAAAUCCCCGGGCUCAACCUGGGAAUUGCGCUUGUGACUGCAGUGCUGGAGUGCGGCAGAGGGGGAUGGAAUUCCGCGUGUAGCAGUGAAAUGCGUAGAUAUGCGGAGGAACACCGAUGGCGAAGGCAAUCCCCUGGGCCUGCACUGACGCUCAUGCACGAAAGCGUGGGGAGCAAACAGGAUUAGAUACCCUGGUAGUCC